ACUACAUUUAAUUUAUCUUUUUGCCUGGUCUUUGCGGAGCGGACUCUACUAGACAAGUCAGCAGACAACGUUGUAAUAUGAUGAACGCACCCUUGUCUUGAACCUGGGGCCCCAGUGUGACACGCUAAUCAACGCCUUGUGAAUGGGAUGCUUUUCAUGAUUGAUCCACCCGUGACUGGAACUGAUGACCUGGGCUUUCGUUUCUGGGGACUGCUCUGAGUGUAAAACAGCCUGACUUGGACUGUCCCCGAAGACCUCCCUUACAAUUUAUCUGCUUCGGAUCCACUUUUUAAUUCCUCUCUGCUGGAAUCCCGGGUC
rnacentral:lncRNA from 1 species